GACAUGUGGAGCUUCUAGAAGUGAGAAUGCCGGUAUGAGUAACGAAAGACAGGUGAGAAUCCUGUCCGCCGCAAGACUAAGGUUUCCUGGGGCAGGCUCGUCCGCCCAGGGUAAGUCGGGACCUAAGGCGAGGCCGAGAGGCGUAGUCGAUGGACAACAGGUUGAAAUUCCUGUACUGCACCGAAUCGUUAUGAGCGAUGGAGGGACGCAGGAGGCUAGCAGCGCGUGGUGCUGGAUACCACGUUCAAGCG
rnacentral:rRNA from 1 species